rnacentral:rRNA from 1 species
UACGGAGGGUGCAAGCGUUAAUCGGAAUUACUGGGCGUGAAGCGCACGCAGGCGGUCUAUCAAGUCGGAUGUGAAAGCCCCGGGCUCAACCCGGGAAUUGCAUUCGAAACUGGUAGACUAGAGUCUUGUAGAGGGGGGUAGAAUUCCAGGUGUAGCGGUGAAAUGCGUAGAGAUGUGGAGGAAUACCGGUGGCGAAGGCGGCCCCCUGGACAAAGACUGACGCUCAGGUGCGAAAGCGUGGGGAGCAAACAGG